AGCGUACACGGUGGAUGCCCUGGCAGUCAGAGGCGAUGAAGGACGUGCUAAUCUGCGAUAAGCGUCGGUAAGGUGAUAUGAACCGUUAUAACCGGCGAUUUCCGAAUGGGGAAACCCAGUGUGAUUCGUCACACUAUCAUUAACUGAAUCCAUAGGUUAAUGAGGCGAACCGGGGGAACUGAAACAUCUAAGUACCCCGAGGAAAAGAAAUCAACCGAGAUUCCCCCAGUAGCGGCGAGCGAACGGGGAGCAGCCCAGAGCCUGAAUCAGUGUGUGUGUUAGUGGAAGCGUCUGGAAAGGCGUGCGAUACAGGGUGACAGCCCCGUACACAAAAAUGCACAUAUUGUGAGCUCGAUGAGUAGGGCGGGACACGUGGUAUCCUGUCUGAAUAUGGGGGGACCAUCCUCCAAGGCUAAAUACUCCUGACUGACCGAUAGUGAACCAGUACCGUGAGGGAAAGGCGAAAAGAACCCCGGCGAGGGGAGUGAAAAAGAACCUGAAACCGUGUACGUACAAGCAGUGGGAGCACGCUUAGGCGUGUGACUGCGUACCUUUUGUAUAAUGGGUCAGCGACUUAUAUUCUGUAGCAAGGUUAACCGAAUAGGGGAGCCGAAGGGAAACCGAGUCUUAACUGGGCGUUAAGUUGCAGGGUAUAGACCCGAAACCCGGUGAUCUAGCCAUGGGCAGGUUGAAGGUUGGGUAACACUAACUGGAGGACCGAACCGACUAAUGUUGAAAAAUUAGCGGAUGACUUGUGGCUGGGGGUGAAAGGCCAAUCAAACCGGGAGAUAGCUGGUUCUCCCCGAAAGCUAUUUAGGUAGCGCCUCGUGAAUUCAUCUCCGGGGGUAGAGCACUGUUUCGGCAAGGGGGUCAUCCCGACUUACCAACCCGAUGCAAACUGCGAAUACCGGAGAAUGUUAUCACGGGAGACACACGGCGGGUGCUAACGUCCGUCGUGAAGAGGGAAACAACCCAGACCGCCAGCUAAGGUCCCAAAGUCAUGGUUAAGUGGGAAACGAUGUGGGAAGGCCCAGACAGCCAGGAUGUUGGCUUAGAAGCAGCCAUCAUUUAAAGAAAGCGUAAUAGCUCACUGGUCGAGUCGGCCUGCGCGGAAGAUGUAACGGGGCUAAACCAUGCACCGAAGCUGCGGCAGCGACACUAUGUGUUGUUGGGUAGGGGAGCGUUCUGUAAGCCUGUGAAGGUGUACUGUGAGGUAUGCUGGAGGUAUCAGAAGUGCGAAUGCUGACAUAAGUAACGAUAAAGCGGGUGAAAAGCCCGCUCGCCGGAAGACCAAGGGUUCCUGUCCAACGUUAAUCGGGGCAGGGUGAGUCGACUCCUAAGGCGAGGCCGAAAGGCGUAGUCGAUGGGAAACAGGUUAAUAUUCCUGUACUUGGUGUUACUGCGAAGGGGGACGGAGAAGGCUAUGUUGGCCGGGCGACGGUUGUCCCGGUUUAAGCGUGUAGGCUGGUUUUCCAGGCAAAUCCGGAAAACUAAGGCUGAGGCGUGAUGACGAGGCACUACGGUGCUGAAGCAACAAAUGCCCUGCUUCCAGGAAAAGCCUCUAAGCAUCAGGUAACAUCAAAUCGUACCCCAAACCGACACAGGUGGUCAGGUAGAGAAUACCAAGGCGCUUGAGAGAACUCGGGUGAAGGAACUAGGCAAAAUGGUGCCGUAACUUCGGGAGAAGGCACGCUGAUAUGUAGGUGAAGUCCCUCGCGGAUGGAGCUGAAAUCAGUCGAAGAUACCAGCUGGCUGCAACUGUUUAUUAAAAACACAGCACUGUGCAAACACGAAAGUGGACGUAUACGGUGUGACGCCUGCCCGGUGCCGGAAGGUUAAUUGAUGGGGUCAGCGCAAGCGAAGCUCUUGAUCGAAGCCCCGGUAAACGGCGGCCGUAACUAUAACGGUCCUAAGGUAGCGAAAUUCCUUGUCGGGUAAGUUCCGACCUGCACGAAUGGCGUAAUGAUGGCCAGGCUGUCUCCACCCGAGACUCAGUGAAAUUGAACUCGCUGUGAAGAUGCAGUGUACCCGCGGCAAGACGGAAAGACCCCGUGAACCUUUACUAUAGCUUGACACUGAACAUUGAGCCUUGAUGUGUAGGAUAGGUGGGAGGCUUUGAAGUGUGGACGCCAGUCUGCAUGGAGCCGACCUUGAAAUACCACCCUUUAAUGUUUGAUGUUCUAACGUUGACCCGUAAUCCGGGUUGCGGACAGUGUCUGGUGGGUAGUUUGACUGGGGCGGUCUCCUCCUAAAGAGUAACGGAGGAGCACGAAGGUUGGCUAAUCCUGGUCGGACAUCAGGAGGUUAGUGCAAUGGCAUAAGCCAGCUUGACUGCGAGCGUGACGGCGCGAGCAGGUGCGAAAGCAGGUCAUAGUGAUCCGGUGGUUCUGAAUGGAAGGGCCAUCGCUCAACGGAUAAAAGGUACUCCGGGGAUAACAGGCUGAUACCGCCCAAGAGUUCAUAUCGACGGCGGUGUUUGGCACCUCGAUGUCGGCUCAUCACAUCCUGGGGCUGAAGUAGGUCCCAAGGGUAUGGCUGUUCGCCAUUUAAAGUGGUACGCGAGCUGGGUUUAGAACGUCGUGAGACAGUUCGGUCCCUAUCUGCCGUGGGCGCUGGAGAACUGAGGGGGGCUGCUCCUAGUACGAGAGGACCGGAGUGGACGCAUCACUGGUGUUCGGGUUGUCAUGCCAAUGGCACUGCCCGGUAGCUAAAUGCGGAAGAGAUAAGUGCUGAAAGCAUCUAAGCACGAAACUUGCCCCGAGAUGAGUUCUCCCUGACUCCUUGA
rnacentral:rRNA from 1 species